GACGAACGCUGGCGGCGUGCUUAACACAUGCAAGUCGAACGGAAAGGCCCUGCUUUUGUGGGGUGCUCGAGUGGCGAACGGGUGAGUAACACGUGAGUAACCUGCUCUUGACUUUGGGAUAACUUCAGGAAACUGGGGCUAAUACCGGAUAGGAGCUCCUGCUGCAUGGUGGGGGGUGGAAAGUUUCGGCGGUUGGGGAUGGACUGGCGGCUUAUCAGCUUGUUGGUGGGGUGGUGGCUUACCAAGGCUUUGACGGGUAGCCGGCCUGAGAGGGUGACCGGCCACAUUGGGACUGAGAUACGGCCCAGACUCCUACGGGAGGCAGCAGUGGGGAAUAUUGCACAAUGGGCGGAAGCCUGAUGCAGCAACGCCGCGUGCGGGAUGACGGCCUUCGGGUUGUAAACCGCUUUCGCCUGUGACGAAGCGUGAGUGACGGUAAUGGGUAAAGAAGCACCGGCUAACUACGUG
rnacentral:rRNA from 1 species